rnacentral:rRNA from 1 species
GAUGAACGCUGACAGAAUGCUUAACACAUGCAAGUCUACUUGAACUUCGGUUUGUGUGGCGGACGGGUGAGUAACGCGUAAAGAACUUGCCUCACAGAUAGGGACAACAUUUGGAAACGAAUGCUAAUACCUGAUAUUAUGAUUUUAGGGCAUCCUAGAAUUAUGAAAGCUAUAUGCACUGUGAGAGAGCUUUGCGUCCCAUUAGCUAGUUGGAGAGGUAACGGCUCACCAAGGCGAUGAUGGGUAGCCGGCCUGAGAGGGUGAUCGGCCACAAGGGGACUGAGACACGGCCCUUACUCCUACGGGAGGCAGCAGUGGGGAAUAUUGGACAAUGGACCAAGAGUCUGAUCCAGCAAUUCUGUGUGCACGAUGAAGUUUUUCGGAAUGUAAAGUGCUUUCAGUUGGGAAGAAAAAAAUGACGGUACCAACAGAAGAAGUGACGGCUAAAUACGUG